GACGUAGGGCGCGAGCGUUGUCCGGAUUUAUUGGGCGUAAAGAGCGUGUAGGCGGCUUGACAGGUCUGCUGUGAAAACUCGAGGCUCAACCUCGAGAUGUCGGCGGAAACCGUCUGGCUAGAGUCCGGAAGAGGAGAGUGGAAUUCCUGGUGUAGCGGUGAAAUGCGCAGAUAUCAGGAAGAACACCUAUGGCGAAGGCAGCUCUCUGGGACGGUACUGACGCUGAGACGCGAAAGUGUGGGGAGCGAACAGG
rnacentral:rRNA from 1 species